UGUAAUAAAUGUGAUUUCUUUUAUUUUUUGACCACUGUUGGAAUAAAAUAUCAUUCAAUGCAUACAACAGCGUCUGAGCUUCUCAUUAAAACGGCUAUAUUGUAUAAUAAUGGCGGCAUCGAACACUGCUCUUUGAGGUGUCCUGGUGGAGAAAACAAUGUCACCAUGACGCCGCUCGGGGACGGCUGCCAUCUUGGUCCGGUCAUCGUACUUACAGUUCAGCAGCAGAAAGAACCAGAUGCCAGAGUACUGUGCCGCAUAUUCGUGUUCAAAUCGCCGGAUCGUCGAAAACAGGGCACGAGGGAUUACUUUUCACAAGUGAUGUGUGCCGUGCAAGCUUGGUCAGAGAUGCUGUACCAUCAUCAUUUGACGAGAGCUCCCACCUUCUAGCUCUGAAAAACAAUGGAGGCCUACUGAUUCCAUCACAAGGCACAGUGAAGGUGCUGAGCGUUGCAGAGAGGGUGAUUCGCCAGGCUUCAACAAAACAAGCUCCAAAGGUGUCAGCAGUCACACACAACGUCUGGGAGGAGAUUGGAAUGGAGGUGGUUUUUCUGCUUGGGGAACACAUUGAAGAAACACAGUUUGAUAUCAACAACCAUCAUUCCAGCUUGUUGUCAUUGGUUGUGUCCGUGGCUACACCACGUUGCCAAACUUACCUGUCUUGACCUGCAGAAAGGGAGCACGAGAAAGAAGCUCUGCAAAACAGUCCUCGUUCAUCGGUUUUAGCUGUAAAACGUUUGUACAUGUGUAAAUGUGGUUUGGGGCAGGGAUGUCAUGUUCUUGUGUUAACUUGAGAAUUUACAUUUACAUUACUUUUUAUUCGUUCUGCUUUGUACAUAUAUAUGAUAUAUAUAUAUUCAUUUUCUGAUAUCUUUUUUAAUAUAUAUGUAUGAAUUAUAUUUAGUCUAUAUAUGAUUUAUAUAACAAUUUUCUCUGAUAUAUUCAUUAUAUUAAUACUCCAGAUAUGAUUUAUAUAUAUUAUGUUUUCAGAUAUAUUGAUUCUAUUGAUACUCCAUACAUGAUUUAUAUAUGUAGUAUGAUUUGUUAAAUAAAAAUGUUAAAUAUAAGCAUUCUUGUUUCAGGUUAUGUUUAAUUAGUUUUAUCAGUCGUCCUGACUUGGACCUUGACUAUCUAAACUUCAUGUGCACCCAUGAAUUGAUGAUUGAACUGAUGGAAUUACUUGCUCAUUUUCUAUGUUCUGUCUAACCAGACAGCACAGUUCUAUUAAGCCAUGUACUAUAUCCAAUGGCAACUCUAUCUGGUCUGCUAAUGCGUCAGCAAGUAUCAAUUCAUGGGUGCACAUGAAGUUUAGAUAGUCAAGGUCCAAGUAAGGAUGACUGAUGACAUACUGAAAGUUGGUUUGCAGUCUUUCAAAGAUAUGACGUCUGAGCAGGUUCUGUUGGAAAAGAAAGCAGUGCAUAUUGGCUCAUUGUCUUAUCUGAGUGUACUGACCUCAUUUGCACAUUAAACAUAACCUGAAACAAGAAUGCUUAUAUUUAACAUUUUCAGUACCACUUCCUGAUGAGGAUAGCAUCCGAUUAUUAAUGAUAUAAAUCGUUUUCAAAACAAAACAAAGAAAAUACAGGGAUGUAUAAAUACAUUUUGUAUGGUGUUCAUGUAUGUUAAAAACCAGGUAUAUGAUCAAAUAAAUAUUUUAUAGUUUUCAUUAAAAUGAAUUUAAAAAUAA